UGAGUUUGAUCCUGGCUCAGGAUGAACGCUGACAGAAUGCUUAACACAUGCAAGUCAACUUGAUCUACUUCGGUAGUGAUGGUGGCGGACGGGUGAGUAACGCGUAAAGAAUCUGCCCUUUAGCCUGGGAUAACGUUUGGAAACGAACGCUAAUACCGGAUAUUAUGAAGAUGUCGCAUGACAACUUUAUGAAAGCUAUAUGCGCUAGAGGGGGACUUUGCGUCCCAUUAGCUAGUUGGUGAGGUAACGGCUCACCAAGGCGACGAUGGGUAGCCGGCCUGAGAGGGUGAUCGGCCACAAGGGAACUGAGACACGGUCCUUACUCCUACGGGAGGCAGCAGUGGGGAAUAUUGGACAAUGGGCCACAAGCCUGAUCCAGCAAUUCUGUGUGCACGAUGAAGGUCUUCGGACUGUAAAGUGCUUUCAGUAGGGAAGAAAAAAAUGACGGUACCUACAGAAGAAGCGACGGCUAAAUAUGUGCCAGCAGCCGCGGUAAUACAUAUGUCGCAAGCGUUAUCCGGAUUUAUUGGGCGUAAAGCGCGUCUAGGCGGUUUACUAAGUCUGAUGUGAAAAUGCGGGGCUCAACUCCGUAUUGCGUUGGAAACUGGUAGACUAGAGUACUGGAGAGGUGGGCGGAACUACAAGUGUAGAGGUGGAAUUCGUAGAUAUUUGUAGGAAUGCCGAUGGAGAAGUCAGCUCACUGGACAGAUACUGACGCUAAAGUGCGAAAGCGUGGGGAGCAAACAGGAUUAGAUACCCUGGUAGUCCACGCCGUAAACGAUGAUCACUAGGUGUUGGGGGUCGAACCUCAGCGCCCAAGCUAACGCGAUAAGUGAUCCGCCUGGGGAGUACGCACGCAAGUGUGAAACUCAAAUGAAUUGACGG
rnacentral:rRNA from 1 species